rnacentral:rRNA from 1 species
CAGGAGGUUAGUGCAAUGGCAUAAGCCAGCUUGACUGCGAGCGUGACGGCGCGAGCAGGUGCGAAAGCAGGUCAUAGUGAUCCGGUGGUUCUGAAUGGAAGGGCCAUCGCUCAACGGAUAAAAGGUACUCCGGGGAUAACAGGCUGAUACCGCCCAAGAGUUCAUAUCGACGGCGGUGUUUGGCACCUCGAUGUCGGCUCAUCACAUCCUGGGGCUGAAGUAGGUCCCAAGGGUAUGGCUGUUCGCCAUUUAAAGUGGUACGCGAGCUGGGUUUAGAACGUCGUGAGACAGUUCGGUCCCUAUCUGCCGUGGGCGCUGGAGAACUGAGGGGGGCUGCUCCUAGUACGAGAGGACCGGAGUGGACGCAUCACUGGUGUUCGGGUUGUCAUGCCAAUGGCACUGCCCGGUAGCUAAAUGCGGAAGAGAUAAGUGCUGAAAGCAUCUAAGCACGAAACUUGCCCCGAGAUGAGUUCUCCCUGACCCUUUAAGGGUCCUGAAGGAACGUUGAAGACGACGACGUUGAUAGGCCGGGUGUGUAAGCGCAGCGAUGCGUUGAGCUAACCGGUACUAAUGAACCGUGAGG